UAGGGAAUCUUCCACAAUGGACGAAAGUCUGAUGGAGCAACGCCGCGUGAGUGAUGAAGGGUUUCGGCUCGUAAAACUCUGUUGUUGGAGAAGAACGGGUGUCAGAGUAACUGUUGACAUCGUGACGGUAUCCAACCAGAAAGCCACGGCUAACUACGUGCCAGCAGCCGCGGUAAUACGUAGGUGGCAAGCGUUGUCCGGAUUUAUUGGGCGUAAAGCGAGCGCAGGCGGUUUUUUAGGUCUGAUGUGAAAGCCUUCGGCUUAACCGGAGAAGUGCAUCGGAAACCGGGAGACUUGAGUGCAGAAGAGGACAGUGGAACUCCAUGUGUAGCGGUGAAAUGCGUAGAUAUAUGGAAGAACACCAGUGGCGAAGGCGGCUGUCUGGUCUGCAACUGACGCUGAGGCUCGAAAGCAUGGGUAGCGAACAGGAUUAGAUAUCCUGGGUAGUCCAUG
rnacentral:rRNA from 1 species